AGAUGAGUGAAAACUUCUCUUUACAGAGAAUAUACAUUUGGUGUGAGCCUCAAAGAUGGACACAACCAGGCAGAGAUGAUUACUGAUGUCCACACUGCUUUGGUCAUUUUCAUGCUUCAGGAUAGAAGUACUUCAGCACUCUAUACAGGAAUGAACUUAACCUGUGCUCUGUAAUAAGUGUGGAUGGCUACCAGAUUUUCCUUGUUAUUUAUUGAUGGUUGAUUUUUAUUUAAAAUUAUUUUCAGGCUAAGACAUUAAGAAAGCAUCUAUUUCAAUAAUAUCAGGUCAGACU
rnacentral:lncRNA from 1 species